rnacentral:tRNA from 1 species
GGUCGAAUGGUGGAAUUGGCAGACACGCAUGUUUAAGGGACAUGUGCCGAAAGGCGUGGGGGUUCAAGUCCCCCUUCGACCACCA